rnacentral:rRNA from 1 species
ACGAACGCUGGCGGCACGCUUAACACAUGCAAGUCGAACGAGAGAAGAGAAGCUUGCUUUUCUGAUCUAGUGGCGGACGGGUGAGUAACACGUGAGCAAUCUGCCUUUCAGAGGGGGAUACCGAUUGGAAACGAUCGUUAAUACCGCAUAACAUAAUUGAACCGCAUGAUUUGAUUAUCAAAGAUUUAUCGCUGAAAGAUGAGCUCGCGUCUGAUUAGCUAGUUGGUAAGGUAACGGCUUACCAAGGCUACGAUCAGUAGCCGGACUGAGAGGUUGAUCGGCCACAUUGGGACUGAGACACGGCCCAGACUCCUACGGGAGGCAGCAGUGGGGAAUAUUGCACAAUGGAGGAAACUCUGAUGCAGCGAUGCCGCGUGAGGGAAGAAGGUUUUAGGAUUGUAAACCUCUGUCUUCAGGGACGAAAAAAGACGGUACCUGAGGAGGAAGCUCCGGCUAACUACGUGCCAGCAGCCGCGGUAAUACGUAGGGAGCGAGCGUUGUCCGGAAUUACUGGGUGUAAAGGGAGCGUAGGCGGGAUUGCAAGUCAGAUGUGAAAACUAUGGGCUUAACCCAUAAACUGCAUUUGAAACUGUGGUUCUUGAGUGAAGUAGAGGUAAGCGGAAUUCCUAGUGUAGCGGUGAAAUGCGUAGAUAUUAGGAGGAACAUCAGUGGCGAAGGCGGCUUACUGGGCUUUAACUGACGCUGAGGCUCGAAAGCGUGGGGAGCAAACAGGAUUAGAUACCCUGGUAGUCCACGCCGUAAACGAUGAUUACUAGGUGUGGGGGGACUGACCCCUUCCGUGCCGCAGCAAACGCAAUAAGUAAUCCACCUGGGGAGUACGACCGCAAGGUUGAAACUCAAAGGAAUUGACGGGGGCCCGCACAAGCAGUGGAGUAUGUGGAUUAAUUCGAAGCAACGCGAAGAACCUUACCAGGUCUUGACAUCGUAUGCAUAGCUCAGAGAUGAGUGAAAUCUCUUCGGAGACAUAUAGACAGGUGGUGCAUGGUUGUCGUCAGCUCGUGUCGUGAGAUGUUGGGUUAAGUCCCGCAACGAGCGCAACCCUUACUGUUAGUUGCUACGCAAGAGCACUCUAGCAGGACUGCCGUUGACAAAACGGAGGAAGGUGGGGAUGACGUCAAAUCAUCAUGCCCCUUAUGACCUGGGCCUCACACGUACUACAAUGGCUGUCAACAGAGGGAAGCAAAGCCGCGAGGUGGAGCAAACCCCUAAAAGCAGUCUUAGUUCGGAUUGUAGGCUGCAACCCGCCUACAUGAAGUCGGAAUUGCUAGUAAUCGCAGAUCAGCAUGCUGCGGUGAAUACGUUCCCGGGCCUUGUACACACCGCCCGUCACGCCAUGGGAGUCGGUAACACCCGAAGCCUGUAGUCUAACCGCAAGGAGGACGCAGUCGAAGGUGGGAUUGAUGACUGGGGUG